rnacentral:rRNA from 1 species
CCUACGGGUGGUAGCAGUGAGGAAUAUUGGUCAAUGGGCGCGAGCCUGAACCAGCCAAGUAGCGUGAAGGAUGACUGCCCUACGGGUUGUAAACUUCUUUUAUAAGGGAAUAAAGUGAGGCACGUGUGCCUUUUUGUAUGUACUGUAUGAAUAAGGAUCGGCUAACUCCGUGCCAGCAGCCGCGGUAAUACGGAGGAUCCGAGCGUUAUCCGGAUUUAUUGGGUUUAAAGGGAGCGUAGAUGGGUUGUUAAGCCAGUUGUGAAAGUUUGCGGCUCAACCGUAGAAUUGCAAUUGAUACUGGCGGGCUUGAGUACACUGGAGGUAGGCGGAAUUCGUGGUGUAGCGGUGAAAUGCUUAGAUAUGACGAAGAACCCCGAUUGCGAAGGCAGCUUACUAAACUGCCACUGACAUUGAUGCUCGAAAGUGUGGGUAUCAAACAGGAUUAGAUACCCGGGUAGUC